AGACAACAUGGGAGGCUGCCUUGGGGAAGCACAGCAAACCUGUCGUGCCCUAAGCUCGUAGGGGAGCACGAAGACCAAAGCAAGGAGCUUCUGUUCUGCUUAAGGAAGCAAAGAGAAGAACCACAAAGUGAGCCUAUGAGAAGGAGCUGAAAUGGAGAAGAAACCACCAGCACCUGGUCACCUGCAAAAUGCUGUUUACUAAGAAUGCUGUAAGCAGUAAAGUCAUACAGAUCAGACAAGACAGGAGCCUUAAAACAACCUGAUCACCAAAGAGGGCAUAAUAUACAACGAAGGAUUCCUCACAACCUUUCAUUCCACUCAUCCCAACAGACGUUCAAUGACCACAUUUGUGGCUGAUGGCAAGUUGCCCUACUCCCACAGCAUUCUUUCCAGCCAAAUCAUAGUUGUCAAUCCAAUUGCAUCUAUCAAGCCAACUGUACAUGGUUACAUCAAGUCCAGUUCUCAGUGUGUUUAUCUUGACCCAGCAGACAACGUUCCAGGAAAGAGGGCCUCGGGACCGAAGAGACAAUUUGCUUAGGAAAUGUUUCCAAGCCUGUAAGUAAUGCUGAAAAUAAGUUUUAAUCAACAUAUGGACUCUAGCUGCCUGAAUUCAGCAGAAAACAACAAAUAUGCCCAAUGAGACACUUACAGAAAAUUCAGAAGUUAGAGGAACAAUGAGCAAAGAAAGAAUUAUAACAGAAAUGAAAUACAAAUUUAGGGCAUGCUUAACUUGGGCUGCAUUUCUAAGUUAGUCAUUGGCCUCCUGUGGAACCAUCAAGCACUGUGAAUUAACCCAUAAUUAUUUACCUAGUAGGACAGUAUUAGCAGUUAUUUAAUGCCAGAACUGUCUUCUGAAACUUCAAAUGAUUAUACAUUCACCAAGAGCAGUGGAUGAAGAGUACACAGUAUGCCACCUCUAGAACACAGCUCUCCCUGGGCCUUUUUCACAUUCAGACAGUGUGACUGAACUCCAAAGCUUUCUGCUUUUAAUAAUGAAGUUACCUAAAUUAAAGGUGAUUCCUUUCAAGCUGUUAAUAGUAAAAUCAGAUGAAGCACAGUCCUAGAACAUCCUUCACUUCUUUUAGAGUGAACUUGAUCGAACUUCUCCACAGAGCCCCUUAAAACAACUAACUGCCAAUUACAGGGAAAGUCCCUAUGAACUUGGUGAUUAGUAGAAUCA